rnacentral:lncRNA from 1 species
AUUUAUGUAACAUUGGAAAUUUCGUGAUUCAAAUGCGUAGCAUAUACAGAAUGUUGUUUUCUAAUAUUUAAAAAAGCCACCUAAUGUCAAUCUUAGUGAAAUUCAAGUUUUAAUUUCAUCCUUUGCUGUGGAAAGAAUGGCUACAUACAGAAUGGCUCUGAGAGAGCCAGGAGCACACUCCUGCUCAGCUUGGUGUCGUGAAUGGGCCAAAGGUUAAACCAUCAGUCCAUUUCCCAGUGUCUACUUAACAGUGGCUUUCUUUGUAUUUCUUCACUUGUUAGGGAAAUACAGCAAGUGUUAUUGAAUGGUAAAACAAAGCAAGUCUUAUAUCAGACACUGACAGCUUCUUUAAAAGUUGGAAUAGGAUGUCAUUGGGUGUUCCAAAGGCUGUCUGAUUGUACUACAUUUUUAUGGAAGUCACUGCAUCAGUGGGAAUUAUAUUGCUAGUCAAAGGAACUUUUUGUAUGUGGUGUUCAAGUCAAUGUAAAUAAAUAUAUCCCUAAUGGACCAGUUUUGAGAAUAAUUCUACUCCCAUGGGUCAGGGGAGUGACUGAAGAAAAAGCCUUUUAAAGAUGGUCAGCCAUAACUUUAUUUUCCUUAGCAAAUUAAUUAGUGUAGAUAAUUUUCUUUGUAACAGGCCAUUCAUCUAUAUGAUGUAGCUUUAAGCAUAAUUUUGAAGGUGAACUAGUUAAAUCAAGUAUAAAAAAUGCUCUCAGAGGCAUGAACUGUUAUUUAGGAUCUUACUGAUAAUGGUCAGGGAGUAUUUCUGAGCAUCUAUGCAGAUUAGAUCUUGAACAGCUGCGUAGAGCACAUAGAAUCACGAUUCCCGUCUCUGUGAACUAACUUGAAUAAAGUCUUUCAUCUAGAGAGCUCACUGUUUGUCCAGUUUAUGAAUCCCUCAACUCAUCUCUGAAAGGUUCAUUCAGUUUAAUACAGUCCAGCUUUGUAGUUUAGAGCUCUAGAAACUGCUUUUGUGGUUUAGAAUGCACAAAAAGUAAGCAAAUUAAUCCAUUGAUUUUUUUUUUUAAUUAGAUAAAAUAUACUUUAAAUAGUGUCUUUUUAUAAAAGCUUUUGGGAACUUGUGAUUCUCAAGCUUAAAUUGUCAUUUGAUAUAGGCCUGGAAGUUGCUGUGUAGACCAGGCGGCCCUUAAACUCAUGGUAGUCCUUAUUACCUCUAUUUCUCAAGAACUGAGAUUACAAGCCUGGUUAGAAUUUAACUGUCUGUGAGCUAUAUUACCUGAAGUAAUAUCUGAAUAUUAUAAAGGGUCCUAUUUCCUUGUGGUUUUAAGAGUUAGGUCUCUUUCACAGAAUUAAGAGAAAAUGUGAAGAUCUGUCCUUUCCCUCCUCUUUCUCCCUCUUCCCCUCCUCCUUGCCCCCCAUCCCUUGGUUUUCAAGACGGGGGUUUCUUUAUGUAGCCUUGACUAACCUGGAACUUGCUCAGUAGACCAGGCUGGCCUCCCGAGUACCGAGAUUAAAGGCAUGUGCCGCCACUGCUCCUGGCUCUUUUCCCUUCUCUUAAGAGGUCAUUUCUUAGACCAUGUUUUGUGUGAAAUGUUCUGCAAACACUUUAGAGUUAAUUAAGCUGAAAAUUAUUGUAUCAUUCAUAUGUGAUUUUUUUUUAAAAAGCUACAUCAUCUGUUCCUUAUUUGGACACUUACGUAUUUAUUUUUGGAAGCUGCAUGUUGCUUGGCAUUUUGUGGUUUAUACUGCUUACUUCUCUCUACAGAUAUAAGUUCUUUUAAUUCAGGGAUCUUGACUUAGUCAACCUUUUCAAAUAUUAAUGUGCAGUAUGAAAUAGGUAUUGAAAUAAACUCCAGGGGAUCGUUCUCAUGACUUUGAGACACACACACAUAAUCCUUUUCAAUCAUGAUGAUAGCCAAGUUUGACAAUAAUUGAUGAAUUUAUUUGUAAUCAAAUCUAAUAGUCAUCAUUUUUCCUAUGUAAAAAUUAAGGACUACAGGAAUUUUGAUCCAAACAUUUCAAACCUACAAUGACAAAAACACAAAAGAUUGAUAUACAUUAGGAACAGUAAUGUAAAUGGAAUUUAUUGAUGCAGACAGUGGAUAUUUUAGCAACAGCUAACUUCUAGCCACUAUGUUAUAGUCUGGGGAUAUAGUACUUUAUUGAUAAAAAUAUAUAAAUAAACAUAAUCCCUACAUAGUAGAUAAUAAACAAAAAUAUUUAAACAAGAUAAUAACAGGAUAUGAGGAUUAUGAAUAAAUAGGAUUGUAUGACAGAGUAACUGAAGGUAUAGAUAGUGGUUAAAAAGAUU